CAAAUUAAAGCUAAAAAGUUAAGCAUUUUAUUUACAUUAAAAAGAUAUCGUGCAAUUCGAUUUAAUUUGA
rnacentral:tRNA from 1 species